rnacentral:rRNA from 1 species
CAGUCGCCGCGGUAAUACGUAGGUGGCGAGCGUUGUCCGGAAUCAUUGGGCGUAAAGGGAGCGCAGGCGGGCAAGUAAGUCUUUCUUAAAAGUUCGGGGCUCAACCCCGUGAUGGGAAGGAAACUACAUGUCUUGAGUACAGGAGAGGAAAGCGGAGUUCCCAGUGUAGCGGUGAAAUGCGUAGAUAUUGGGAGGAACACCAGUGGCGAAGGCGGCUUUCUGGACUGCAACUGACGCUGAGGCUCGAAAGCCAGGGGAGCGAACGGGAUUAGAUACCCCCGUAGUCCCUGUCUCUUAUACA